rnacentral:rRNA from 1 species
UGGCUUAACGGCUUUCGGCAACGGGUAUCUCGGCUCUCGCAUCGGUGGAGGACGGAGCGGAAUGCGGUACUUGGGGGGGAUUGCAGGAUCCCGGGGACCAUCGGGGCUUUGGACGGAAGGUGCGGCCGGAGGCAAUAGGGCGAGGGCACAGCUGCCUGGGGGGCACACG